rnacentral:rRNA from 1 species
AUUGAACGCUGGCGGCAGGCUUAACACAUGCAAGUCGAGCGGGGGAGAUUGCUUCGGUAAUUGACCUAGCGGCGGACGGGUGAGUAAUACUUAGGAAUCUGCCUAUUAAUGGGGGACAACAUCUCGAAAGGGAUGCUAAUACCGCAUACGCCCUACGGGGGAAAGCAGGGGAUCACUUGUGACCUUGCGUUAAUAGAUGAGCCUAAGUCGGAUUAGCUAGUUGGUGGGGUAAAGGCCUACCAAGGCGACGAUCUGUAGCGGGUCUGAGAGGAUGAUCCGCCACACUGGGACUGAGACACGGCCCAGACUCCUACGGGAGGCAGCAGUGGGGAAUAUUGGAGAAUGGGGGGAACCCUGAUCCAGCCAUGCCGCGUGUGUGAAGAAGGCCUUAUGGUUGUAAAGCACUUUAAGCGAGGAGGAGGCUCUUCUAGUUAAUACCUAGGAUGAGUGGACGUUACUCGCAGAAUAAGCACCGGCUAACUCUGUGCCAGCCGCCGCAGUAAGAC